rnacentral:rRNA from 1 species
UACGGGGGGAGCAAGCGUUGUUCGGAUUUACUGGGCGUAAAGGGCGCGUAGGCGGUCAGCACAAGUCAGUUGUGAAAUCUCCGGGCUUAACCCGGAAAGGUCAACUGAUACUGUGCGACUAGAGUGCGGAAGGGGCAACUGGAAUUCUUGGUGUAGCGGUGAAAUGCGUAGAUAUCAAGAGGAACACCUGCGGCGAAGGCGGGUUGCUGGGCCGACACUGACGCUGAUGCGCGAAAGCCAGGGGAGCGAACGGG